ensembl:lncRNA
CAGCAGCGCUCUGGACCAGAACCAGCACCGUGCCCGUCCUCUGCAGAGGGUCAUCGUGGGACCCCUCCGGGCAGGACUCCGGCACAGCUCUCCUGGUCCUGGCUUCCCAUGCAGCCCCAUGGCAAAUGCUGGCUCCUGAGGCUGCUGCUUAUCCCAGCACACAUAGCUCCACUUUGGGAAAAAGCCACUCCCGGCCACAUUAGCUUCCCACAGCCCUGGGACCGCUCCAGCGCCACCCAGCCCAGCAUUCCCUAUGGGUUCACAGGAACUAUAGGGCGGGAGUGGCCACUUAGUGGUGGGAGCUUCGCCAGGGCAAAGGAAGGGCAGGGAGGACCUGGUUAAAGGACGGUGGCCUUGGAGACUCCUUUAAAGGGUCCACAGGGCUUCCUGUCUGUGUUCAGGCUCACGUCUGUUUCCUGGCCGGCCCCAGGUCCCCUGAAGCAUCGCUCCUGCCGUGAGCAGCAGGAGACUUGCAUGGCUGUCCACUGGGCACACUGGCCACAUGACUGCUGGGCGAGAACCAAGCACGAGGCCGUCCCCUCCUACCUCUGAAUCUAGGCAGAAUUCCCAAGACGGAGUGGCAGGGGUUGCCCACUGUCCCUUCUGGGUCACGCAGAAAGAGAGCACCCCAUCCCUCUGGCUGUGUAGGGCACAGAGUCCCGGGUCUGCUCUGAUGACCCCAGGCCGCGGACAGGGCUGCUGCUGCUGCCCGAGAACCAGAGAGAGGGACAAGACCACGCUGACGCAGGCAGCGCUGCAGUCACACGCAGAGCCUGGUGGCUAUCACCUUGGAGUCAGGGAAGGGCCUGAUGUCUGGGGCUCUGUUCGGGAACAGACUGGCUCAGGGAUGGAGAGCCACAGCAGGUCUGUGUGUGUCCUUCAAGCCGUGCUUGUUCCCUGGGGAAGCCCUUCGUCUUUGCUGUCGUGCAUGGGAUCCUCAGGCCUUGGAGAGGACACGCUGUGUGGGGCAGGUGCUGCCCGUGAGCUCUGUCCACAGCCAUUGACCGCCACCCUGACAGGAAGCCCAAGUUCAGCCACUCUGCGUGGUUGCUUCUACGGGUCCUGCACAAGCAGCUGGCCCCAUCCGGGGCCUCAGGGUUCUCAGAGGAGACCCAGUGCAGACAGACACAGCCUUGGCUGUAGAGAGUUGUCACAUGCUCGCUUGACACUCACUGUCUUGUCCUCUUAACGAGUCACCAUCUUCUGACUGCCGGCACUUCUGGGAAAAGCUGACUUUGGACGGGAAGUAUCCUGAGUCAUACCUGGGAUCAAUAGCAGAGGUUCCCACACGCGGGCCCUGCAGCAGCCAGCACCCCGGGACUGUCGGAGAUGCAGAGCCCCCACCCCACCCUGGCAUCAGGAGCUCCAGGUGGGGGAGACCCAGCAGUCUGCCCAGCAGCAAGCACCCCGGGAGGCCACAUGAGCUGGAGAAGCACAAAAACGGGGUCAGAGAUGGGAGGAAAAAGUGUCCAGUGGGAAACAGUGAGAGGCGUGGUAGUGAGGCCUCCGUGCCUGCGUUGCAGCAGCGUGGACAAGGCCGUUACUGAAGGGGAGUAAUCAGCUUCAGAAACUCACUUCCCAGUCUUAACAGUAAACCUCCAGGUGUUCUGGGUUGUGAACCCUUGACCAUUCCCAUCUGUGUCUGGAAUAAGCACGCCCAGAAUGCGGUGUCCCUCCCCACGGGGGCCAAGGGAAGAGAUGUUUCCCCCAGUACAGUCUGCGGUUCUCUUUCUCGUAAUUGACCAAAUUCCUGACACAGUAGAGGGCUCGUUUUAAGGGCUGUAUGUUUCUGCCACAGUGCAUUUUAAGAAGAGGAAGUACAGGCAAAGAGGUUUCGCAUCCUGCUGCCAGACUGGGAGCCCCCAGGGCUGAGAUUUCAGCCCCUCCCUUAGCCCUGCCUUGGCUUUAGCCCCGCCUGCCUGAGCAAGUAGGGACCGGAACAGCUGGCACGGCCACCUCGGAGCAGCAGUGUCCAUCUGGCACCUGCCAGUGUCCCUGAGCCUAACCUGUGAUGUCGUGAAGACCAAACACGGGCCCACUGUUUCAUUUCACCGUGUACGUUGUCGUUUUCGCCUUGUGAUGGGUUAUUUUGUUUUGUUUUUCUUCGGUGGUGGAUGGAGGCUUCCUUGCUUGUUCUGCUGCUAUCCCAGGCAUUUAUCCUCAUCCCAGCAGAUGGUCUCAGGUGUUCUUUUUGCAAGCCACAACCAAAGACCUUCCCAACCCCAGCCAGCCUUGGCAGAUACUGCCCCUAAGCAUGAAACUCUUUAAAAAACAACAACAACAGUGAUUUGAGGCCAGAACCCUUAUCUCCUUCAGCUCACCUACCGCAGCCAGCACUGUCAGGACUCUGUGCGUUCUUCGCUGAGCUCCAGGGAGAGCUUAUGGGCCUGCAGGACAGAGUUGAAAUUCAACUUAUUGUUGACUUUAGUGGAUUUUGGAGGGAGGAACAAAAAUCUAUUCCAUUAUUCCCUUUGUGCAUUGUUACAGCUUAUAUCUAGAUGUCCCUCCAAAGCCUCACACACUCAUAGUGGGACUUUGGGGAGGUGGCUGGAUCAUGGGAGCAUGGUAACUGAAUUGUCCACUGAUUGUUAGCAUGGCUCUGGGUGUGGCUGAGGGAUUUACUGAAGACAGAAGACCCACAUGAGUGUGAGUGGUCCCAACCAAUAGGCUUCCAGCCUGAAUGGAAUAAAAGGGAAAUGGAGGCUCCCUGGCUUCCGCCUGCCUACCCUGCCAUGGACUGUUUCUCAUCUUGGAUGCCCUUCUGCCAUGCCACCCUGCCUUGGAGCUAGUCAACUGUGGACUGAAACUUCUACAAAUUGUGGGCUGAAAUAAACCUUUUCUCCUUUAACCUGUAGAUGUCAGGUAUUUUGUCUCAGCAAUGUGGAAAGUAAUUUAAGACAUCCCCAAAAGGAAAGCCUCAUAAGGAGUUUCACA